rnacentral:rRNA from 1 species
AAAUUGAAGAGUUUGAUCAUGGCUCAGAUUGAACGCUGGCGGCAGGCCUAACACAUGCAAGUCGAACGGUAACAGGAAGCAGCUUGCUGCUUCGCUGACGAGUGGCGGACGGGUGAGUAAUGUCUGGGAAACUGCCUGAUGGAGGGGGAUAACUACUGGAAACGGUGGCUAAUACCGCAUAACGUCGCAAGACCAAAGAGGGGGACCUUCGGGCCUCUUGCCGUCAGAUGUGCCCAGAUGGGAUUAGCUUGUUGGUGAGGUAACGGCUCACCAAGGCGACGAUCCCUAGCUGGUCUGAGAGGAUGACCAGCCACACUGGAACUGAGACACGGUCCAGACUCCUACGGGAGGCAGCAGUGGGGAAUAUUGCACAAUGGGCGCAAGCCUGAUGCAGCCAUGCCGCGUGUAUGAAGAAGGCCUUCGGGUUGUAAAGUACUUUCAGCGGGGAGGAAGGUGUUGUGGUUAAUAACCGCAGCAAUUGACGUUACCCGCAGAAGAAGCACCGGCUAACUCCGUGCCAGCAGCCGCGGUAAUACGGAGGGUGCAAGCGUUAAUCGGAAUUACUGGGCGUAAAGCGCACGCAGGCGGUCUGUCAAGUCGGAUGUGAAAUCCCCGGGCUCAACCUGGGAACUGCAUUCGAAACUGGCAGGCUUGAGUCUUGUAGAGGGGGGUAGAAUUCCAGGUGUAGCGGUGAAAUGCGUAGAGAUCUGGAGGAAUACCGGUGGCGAAGGCGGCCCCCUGGACAAAGACUGACGCUCAGGUGCGAAAGCGUGGGGAGCAAACAGGAUUAGAUACCCUGGUAGUCCACGCCGUAAACGAUGUCUACUUGGAGGUUGUGCCCUUGAGGCGUGGCUUCCGGAGCUAACGCGUUAAGUAGACCGCCUGGGGAGUACGGCCGCAAGGUUAAAACUCAAAUGAAUUGACGGGGGCCCGCACAAGCGGUGGAGCAUGUGGUUUAAUUCGAUGCAACGCGAAGAACCUUACCUGGUCUUGACAUCCACAGAACUUUCCAGAGAUGGAUUGGUGCCUUCGGGAACUGUGAGACAGGUGCUGCAUGGCUGUCGUCAGCUCGUGUUGUGAAAUGUUGGGUUAAGUCCCGCAACGAGCGCAAC